AGCUCCAAUAGCGUAUAUUAAAGUUGUUGCAGUUAAAACGCUCGUAGUUGAAGUUCUGCUGGUGAAAAUCGGUCCACUUCAAUGUGGUACUGAUUGUCACCGGCAUAAUUCCGAUCCAUUGAGCCCCUCGGGAUUCAAUAUUCGGAGCCGUUACUUUGAGUAAAUUAGAGUGUUUCAAGCAGGCAUGACGCCUUGAAUACUCCAGCAUGGAAUAACAAGUGAGGACUCAAGUUCUUCUUGUUGGUUUAAGAACCUGAGUAAUGAUUGAUAGGAACAGUCGGGGGUAUUCGUACUUGGUAGUCAGAGGUGAAAUUCUUAGAUUUACCAAAGACGAACUACUGCGAAGGCAUCUACCAUGGAUGUUUUCA
rnacentral:rRNA from 1 species